AUUCUACUCCCUCCGUUGCACAAUACAUGCCUUCUAUUUGUCAAAAUAUAUAUGUAUCUAGACAUGUUUUAGUAUAUAGGUACAUCCAUUUUUGGACAAAUGGAAGUCAAGUAUUUUGGAACGAGGGAGUACACA
rfam:Triticum aestivum genome assembly, contig: Triticum_aestivum_CS42_TGACv1_scaffold_000168_1AL